UACGAAGGGGGCUAGCGUUGCUCGGAAUCACUGGGCGUAAAGCGCACGUAGGCGGCUUUCUAAGUCAGGGGUGAAAUCCUGGAGCUCAACUCCAGAACUGCCUUUGAUACUGGAGAGCUUGAGUCCGGAAGAGGUGAGUGGAACUCCGAGUGUAGAGGUGAAAAUUCGUAGAUAUUCGGAAGAAACACCAGUGGCGAAGGCGGCUCACUGGUCCGGUACUGACGCUGAUGUGCGAAAGCGUGGGGAGCAAACAGGG
rnacentral:rRNA from 1 species